CAAGCAGACUAUGGAGUACAGAAAACAGUUAGCCGUUAUUAUCUAUACGUGUUCAACAAAACACACUCAUUUUCAGUUGUAUGCGCAACGUAAUAAGGUUGAUAAUAAAUGCAAAUAAAUAUAUUGACUGCAAAGACUGGCCGUAUAUAAAAAGGUAAUGCUUUUUAAACGUAUCAUCAUUCAACAGCAUCGUUCCGUGAUCGUUCUUCGAACGUUCAUUUUUAAUUCAAAUUUCAAAUAUCGAAUUUCGAAAAUGGAUUUCUCUAAAAUUUUCUUCUUCGUAUUUGCCUGCAUCGUAGCGCUGUCAACGGUUUCGGGUGCACCCAGCCCUAAAUGGAAGUUUUUCAAAAAGAUUGAGCGCGUUGGUCAGAAUAUAAGAGAUGGAAUCAUAAAAGCUGGUCCAGCAGUACAAGUAGUAGGACAAGCAGCCACGAUAUAUAAAGGAAAAUAGAUUUUAUUUCUUAGAUUUUAAGACUUAAAUUAUCACUUAUUAGUUAUAAGUCAGAGACUGCCAUUACUUAAAUUAAAUUUAUCAAAAUAAAUAAUUAUUUUACAUAA